UCCAAAAAAGGAGCAGAAGAAGCACAAUGGCACAAGCUAAAGAGGCAGCCCAGUGAGAAGGAAUUGAGUCAUCCGGUUGACGGUGAUGCAUGGAAAGAUUUUGAUAAACAAUAUCCAGAUUUUGCAAAAGAUGCCAGAAACAUUAGACUUAGCAUUGCCAUUGAUGGGUUCAAUCCUUUUGGAAACUUUAACACAACCUACAGUAUGUGGCCUGUGUUUGUUAUACCAUACAACCUUCCACCUUGGGCAUGCAUGGACCAGUCAAAUUUCAUGAUGGCUUUGCUAAUUCCAGGUCCUAAAUCACCUGGCAAGCACUUUGAUGCCUUUCUACAACCACUUGUAGAAGAAUUACUUGAGCUCUGGGAGGGUGUGAGUACAUAUGAUGCUCUUAGUGAAAAAAUGUUUGAUCUUCAUGCUGCAGUUCUAUGGUGCAUUCAUGAUUACCCAGCUCUGAGCACUCUUUCAGGGCGUACCACAAGAGGCUAUUUUGCAUGUAUUCAUUGUGACAAACACCCUAUUUCUUACGGCCUAAGGAAAAAAUGGGGUAUAUUGGUCACUAUCGUUUCCUUCCAAAGGGACAUCGUUUGCGGAGAAAUAAUGAAUUUGUUGGUCUUCAUGAAAGCAAUGAUCGGCCAGGUAAAUUCUCUGAGAAAGAGCUGCAAGCAGAAUUGGAGAAGGUUAGACCUGGGAGGCAACAAGAAAGUAAGAAAAGGAAACGUUCUGACUUGGGCAGCAAGAAGGCUCAUGUGCCAAUUUGGAGCCGCAGGGUUUGUUUGUGGGAUUUGGAAUAUUGGGGGAAAUUGAAGCUGAGGCACAAUCUUAAUGUCAUGCACAUCGAGAAAAACAUAUGUGAAAACCUCAUUGGGACAAUUUUGAACUUAGAGGGGAAGACAAAGGACACACUCAAUGCUAGGAUUGAUCUCCAAGAUUUGAAUAUUAAAGAUGAGUUGAAAUUGAGGAAGGAAGGAAACUCGUAUGUGAUGCCUUGGGCACGAUAUACCUUGUCCAAAGAACAAGUGGUUGCAUUUUGUCAAUUUCUACGGGAGUUAAAGUUUCCGGAUGGAUUUGCUUCCAACAUAUCAAGAUGUACAAGUGCUAAUGGUACCAAGGUACAAGGCCUUAAAACACAUGAUUGUCACAUUCUUCUGCAAAGAAUCUUACCUGCUGGCAUGAGAGGAUUUUUGGACAGUGAUAUAUAUCAACCGAUAGCUGAGUUAGGCAAGUUUUUCAGGGAACUAUGCAGCAAAACUCUUAAUAGGGAUGUGUUGGCUGAAAUGAAGAAAGAAAUCCCUAUAAUUUUGUGCAAGCUUGAGAAAAUUCCCCCCUGCUUUCUUUGAUGUGAUGGUGCACCUUGCAGUACAUUUACCUGAAGAGGCAUUGCUUCGAGGUCCCGUACAAUAUGGGUGGAUGUACCUAGUUGAAAGAAGGCUAUAUACUUUAAAGCGCUAUGUGAGGAAUAGGGCACGACCAGAAGGCUCGAUUGCUGAAGCAUAUGUUGCGGAUGAGUGCCUGACAUUUUGCUCCAAGUACAUGGAUGAUGUUGAAACAAUAUUUAAUCGGAACCCAAGAAAUAUAGGUUUUUCAGAUGAAGAAGCCUACGGUGUUGAUGUUUUUGGACAUGGAUUUAAUUUUACUUCAGGAUAUGGUUAUGAAUAUGUACAUGCGGAAAAAGAAUUUGAUUAGAUGGUGUGGUAUGUGUUGAACAAUUGUGAUCAAGCUAAGAAAUAUAUCGAAAUAUUCAGAGAUGAGUUAAAGAGAAAAGGGGCGCCGGACAGUGAUAAGGAGCUUCAAAAAAAAUUCCAACAUGGUUCAAGAACUAUAUGAUAAGGAUGCAGGAUGAGGUUGGUGAAGUGGUAGACGAAGAUCUCUUUGCCUUGGCAUGUGGUCCCGAUCGGAGAGUCCGGAAAUUCUCAUCAUGCAUAGUGAAUGGGAUUAGAUUUAGUACUGUUGAUCGUGAUAGCAACAAGAGAACGCAAAACAGUGGAGUCAUGACCGAAGGUGAACAUGAUCGUAAGCUCAUAAAUUUUUAUGGAACCUUGAAAGAGAUCAUUCAGUUAGACUACAACUUGGAUGACAGGUCAGUUGUUUUGUUUAAAUGUGACUGGUUUAAACUUGAUGGAAAGAAGACCGAGCUUAAAAAUGAUGGUUAUUUCAAAAGCAUAAAUGUUGGAAGUAUGUGGUACAAGGACGAUUCUUUGAUUCUGGCUACGCAGGCUAGAAAGGUCUUUUAUUUGCCAGACACGAAGUAUGGGAAGAAUUGGCAAGUUGUGCAAACAUUUGAACAUAGGCAUCUCUUCAAUAUUAGUGAAACUGAGGGUGUACCUUUUGCUGGUCCUGCAUAUCAAGAGGACGAGUGUUGUGAUGUGGAGGGUAGGAGAAUAUCUGUUUCUAACCUUACAUCCGAGAAGCCUUUGCAUAGAGAUGAUGAGCAAGGCAUUGUUUUUGAAGCUGAUGUAGUUGCUCGUUUGAUGAAAGAAAAAAGCACAGAAGUGUAUGAAGGUGGCAAUGAAGAGGAAGAAGAUGAUACGGGUCUGGAGUAUUGCAGAGAAGACGAAGGAGGUGCCAUGGAUGUUGACAGCGAUGAUGAGUAGAUGUUUUAAUG